AGCGAACGCUGGCGGCAGGCCUAACACAUGCAAGUCGAACGGAUCCUUCGGGAUUAGUGGCGGACGGGUGAGUAACACGUGGGAACGUGCCCUUUGGUUCGGCACAACUCAGGGAAACUUGAGCUAAUACCGGAUGUGCCCUUCGGGGGACAGAUUUAUCGCCAUUGGAGCGGCCCGCGUCUGAUUAGCUAGUUGGUGAGGUAAAGGCUCACCAAGGCGACGAUCAGUAGCUGGUCUGAGAGGAUGAUCAGCCACAUUGGGACUGAGACACGGCCCAAACUCCUACGGGAGGCAGCAGUGGGGAAUCUUGCGCAAUGGGCGAAAGCCUGACGCAGCCAUGCCGCGUGAAUGAUGAAGGUCUUAGGAUUGUAAAAUUCUUUCGCCGGGGACGAUAAUGACGGUACCCGGAGAAGAAGCCCCGGCUAACUUCGUGCCAGCCGCCGCGGUAA
rnacentral:rRNA from 1 species